UACAGAGGUCCCGAGCGUUGUUCGGAUUCAUUGGGCGUAAAGGGCGCGUAGGCGGCCAGCACAAGUCAGUUGUGAAAUCUCCGGGCUUAACUCGGAACGGUCAAGUGAUACUGUCGGACUAGAGUACAGAAGGGGCAACUGGAAUUCUCGGUGUAGCGGUGAAAUGCGUAGAUAUCGAGAGGAACACCUGCGGCGAAGGCGGGUUGCUGGGCUGAUACUGACGCUGAGGCGCGAAAGCCAGGGGAGCGAACGGG
rnacentral:rRNA from 1 species